CAAAAGGUUUCUGGAUGCCGCAGCUGGGGGCAUUUUCUUCUUCCCAUGCAGAAGAUUCUCCGCUCUUCACCCAAGAUGAUGCAUUUCAUGCUGCGCUAACGGCGUCAAACGGUCUGGACUUCCUGCCUCUUAAUGUGCACAGCUGUGAAAUUGUUCUCAGCAAACUGAGAUUUCCUGUAUUUUAUCUUUCGGUGGACUCGGUUCUAUUGGGAUCAAAGUUGCAGCAUCUGCUCCACCUCCUGCUGCUGUGGUUCUCUUUCUCUCUGCCCUGAGUUACACCAACCUGUUCCCCUCCUCGCCUGUGGGGGCGCUGCAUCAAGAACCACCGAAGAAAAUGACAUGAAAACCUCUGACGACACUGAGAGCAACUUCCUUCUUCACCAAAUGGAAACGAAAAUGAAGUGGCGUCAGAUUUUAGCAGUUGGAGGAUUUCUCUUUAGCCUUUGGCUAAACACCACAAGCUAACGCAUUUGUUUUGGUUGUAUUUACCCAGAAUGCACUGCAGUAUUGUCUGCUUCCUUGCUUUUGGAGCGGUCUCCGGUCCGCUUGGCGUUCACAUCUGCAUUUGAACUGAACCAGAGGUCUCUUCCACUCUGGUGUGUACAAACUUCGGACUCAAACCUGGACUAGAAGGAUCGGUUCGGUUCGUUUGGGGAGGUGUGAAUGCUAAUCAAACUUUGCUCCAGAUCAAAAAACAAACUCCGGUCCACAAACCCCCGUCUUGGUUCGGUUGAAGUGAACUCUGGUGCUGUUCAAAUGCAUAUGUGAACAGCAACCGGACCAGAGAUCGAUGCGGCUAUCUGCUAGGAAGUGCUAACCCAGAACGAAGAGCACUAGCGGUGAAAUUGUUUACACAAACAAAACAUUUUCUCAAAUUCAAAAUGGGGUCUUAAAAAACUUUGAACAUCCAUUCAUUAGCAUCCAAUUGUUUUUGAUUUCUUGUUAGCGCCUGCUAACGUGGCUAACAGUGUUAACUAGCUACCUUUGUAAACAGUUAAAUCACAAGGCAUCAUGUUAGCUUGUUUCAACAGAUAUCUCAUCUUUAACGGUUCAUUAAGCUUCAAAUCCAGACAUUUUUGUUGCCACAUUAGCCUACAUGAUUUUGACUUCUUGUGUUUUGCUUAAAUUCUCCAGUUUGCUGUAACUUAUUGACCCAGCAUGCAUUGCGCAGGUGGAAAAUAUAAUAAAGAUAUACAAUUUUUGAAAUUGUUAUGAGUUUUUAGGUAUCACAACCAACAACUUUUAGGUUAAU